GCUUGAGCACAGUCCAAGAUGAAAGUUUCUGGGCUGUUUCCCCUUCGCUGCUUCCUCUCGCCCUUGCUCCCCUUAGAGCGGCAGCAGCCAAGCAAUUGUGCAAGAGGAGCCCGGCACGGGGCGCGUAUCACCGAGCGCAGGAGUCAGCACGCCGAGCCGCCUCCAGCGCGGCCUCGACCAAGGAACGGUUCUGGGGAGAACGCCAAGGCUGCGCCCAAGUGUGAGGGCGAGCGGGCAAGUGUGCGUGAGCCGGCACCAGCGAGCGGAGCGCAGGAGCGAGCGCGGAGGCGCGGUGCGGUGGCCGGCGUGGAGGAGCGAGGGACCGGGGCACAGCCCGCCACGCAGGCCGUCUCCUCCAAGGACCCUCGGCAGCGAUUCCUGCACAGCUUCCUCUCCUCAGGUCUGAAUCAAGCUGCUUUCAGCCACAUGAAGUCAGUUAUGCUGUUCUGAGGGGCCCCUAGAUUUUAUGACUGUGGUUGGGAAACGUACUCGGAGAGAGUAGACACUUUCAAGAAGUGAUUAAUAGAGAUGGAAAGAUGCAUUUGUUGGGUGGUGGGUUGUUUGUUUUUAUUGUUUUAUUUUGUUGUUGUUGUUUUAUUUUUAAUUUUAACAGAAAGCAAAGAAAUAAAUUGUCUUCCCAUG
rnacentral:lncRNA from 1 species